rnacentral:rRNA from 1 species
GAUCAUGGCUCAGGAUGAACGCUAGCUACAGGCUUAACACAUGCAAGUCGAACGAGAGGACAAGAGAAGCUUGCUUCUUUUGGAAUCGAGUGGCAAACGGGUGAGUAACACGUAAACAACCUGCCUUCAGGAUGGGGACAACAGACGGAAACGACUGCUAAUACCGAAUACGCUUGGGAGACCGCAUGAUCUACCAAGGAAAGGGUGGCCUCUACCUGUAAGCUAUCGCCUGAAGAGGGGUUUGCG